rnacentral:rRNA from 1 species
AUUCCAGCUCCAAUAGCGUAUAUUAAAGUUGUUGCGGUUAAAAAGCUCGUAGUUGGAUUUCUGCUGAGGCCGACCGAUCGGCCCAUAUGGGUUUGUAUCUGGUUAGACCGAGGCAUCCUCUUGGAAGACGCAUGCUCUUUAUCGGGUGUGCGGAGUCCAGGACUUUUACUUUGAGGAAAUUAGAGUGUUUCAAGCAGGCUUACGCCGUGAAUACAUUAGCAUGGAAUAAUAAGAUAGGACUUCGGUUCUAUUUUGUUGGUUUCUAGAACUGAAGUAAUGAUUAAUAGGGACAGUCGGGGGCAUUCGUACUUAAUUGUCAGAGGUGAAAUUCUUGGAUUUAUUAAAGACGAACUACUGCGAAAGCAUUUGCCAAGGAUGUUUUCAUUG